CCUAGAGUUCGGGCCGCACGCGCGCUACACUGACGGAGCCAGCGAGCUUUUCCUUAGCCGAGAGGUUUGGGUAAUCUUGUGAAACUCCGUCGUGCUGGGGAUAGAGCAUUGUAAUUAUUGCUCUUCAACGAGGAAUUCCUAGUAAGCGCAAGUCAUCAGCUUGCGUUGAUUACGUCCCUGCCCUUUGUACACACCGCCCGUCGCUAGUACCGAUUGAAUGGCUUAGUGAGGCUUCAGGAUUUGCUUAGAUCGAGGGGCAACUCUCUUUCAGAGCGGAGAAUCUAGUCAAACUUGGUCAUUUAGAGGAACUAAAAGUCGUAACAAGGUUUCCGUAGGUGAACCUGCGGAAGGAUCAUUAGAUUGAAUUAUCAUUGUUGCUCGAGUUCUUGUUUAGAUCUUUUACAAUAAUGUGUAUCUUUACUGAAGAUGUGCGCUUAAUUGCGCUGCUUCUUUAGAGUGUCGCAGUGAAAGUAGUCUUGCUUGAAUCUCAGUCAACGCUACACACAUUGGAGUUUUUU
rnacentral:rRNA from 1 species